rnacentral:rRNA from 1 species
UGAGGAAUAUUGGUCAAUGGGCGCAAGCCUGAACCGGCCAUGCCGCGUGCAGGAAGACGGCUCUAUGAGUUGUAAACUGCUUUUGUACGAGGGUAAACCUACUUACGUGUAAGUAGCUGAAAGUAUCGUACGAAUAAGGACCGGCUAACUCCGUGCCAGCAGCCGCGGUAAUACGGAGGGUCCAAGCGUUAUCCGGAUUUAUUGGGUUUAAAGGGUGCGUAGGCGGUUUUAUAAGUUAGAGGUGAAAUCCCGUAGCUCAACUACGGAACUGCCUCUAAUACUGUAAGGCUAGAGAAUGGUUGCUGUGGGCGGAAUGUGUAGUGUAGCGGUGAAAUGCUUAGAGAUUACACAGAACACCGAUUGCGAAGGCAGCUCACAAAGCCAUAUCUGACGCUCAGGCACGAAAGCGUGGGGAGCAAACA